CAUCGGAAGUUUUAUUCCGAAGUUCGGUUCAAGGCCCGUCCCCCGCCUCACCGAACAGGCGGCAGCCUAAUCCCCCCUCUCCGGGCUGCCGCAAGCUUAAAGUGCGGCCACCGUGGUAUCCCCCUCCACCACGGUGGCCUUUU
rnacentral:sRNA from 1 species